AGGAUGAACGCUGGCGGUCUGCUUAACACAUGCAAGUCGAACGGAGUACCUCGGUACUUAGUGGCGGACGGGUGAGUAACGCGUGAGAAUCUGCCCUUAGGUCGGGGACAACCAUUGGAAACGAUGGCUAAUACCGGAUAAGCCGAGAGGUAAAAGAUUAAUUGCCUAGGGAAGAGCUCGCGUCUGAUUAGCUAGUUGGUGAGGUAAAGGCUCACCAAGGCAUCGAUCAGUAGCUGGUCUGAGAGGAUGAUCAGCCACACUGGGACUGAGACACGGCCCAGACUCCUACGGGAGGCAGCAGUGGGGAAUUUUCCACAAUGGGCGAAAGCCUGACGGAGCAAGACCGCGUGAGGGAGGAAGGCUCUUGGGUUGUAAACCUCUUUUCUUGGGGAAGAACAAAAUGACGGUACCCAAGGAAUCAGCAUCGGCUAACUCCGUGCCAGCAGCCGC
rnacentral:rRNA from 1 species